GGGAGUACUGCUCUGAUGGUGGAAGGGCACAGGUCUGUAAAACCUGCACAUAAGAAACUCAGUAAGUUCGACUCUUACUACUCCCA
rnacentral:tRNA from 1 species